AUAUCUAGAGGAAAGGGGGAGCCGCGUGAGAGAGGGAGAGAUAGAGAACUCAAGGAGAAGAAGGAAGGAAGAGCUUGAGAAUGAAGAGGAAAGAUGGGAAAAUUGAUGGAAUUACUUCAAGAGAUUGGCUCUAGGUCAAGACGAGGACAUCGUUCCACCGCUAUCAGAGACCUACCGCUGUAAUUACUUUGAAAGUCCGUCUUAACCCUUGAUGCUUACCCUUCAAUUGUCAACCUCAGUAUGCCUAGACUCCCAGACCAAGCCCAUGCAUUUAUGUGAAGUUUUGUUAAGAUUUUGUCAUGCACUUUAAUUAUUUACUUAAGGUUAAAAUGUAUGUAUAUACCCCCUUUCUUUACCAAUGUUCGGAUAUACACUCAUUUAUAUGUAUGGGUAUGUAUAUAGAUAAAUGGCUCUCACGUA